rnacentral:miRNA from 1 species
AGAUAAGGAACUGAACUGGCU